GACGAACGCUGGCGGCGUGCCUAAUACAUGCAAGUCGAACGAGUGGCGGACGGGUGAGUAACGCAUCGGAACGUACCGAGUAAUGGGGGAUAACUGUCCGAAAGGACAGCUAAUACCGCAUAUUAUUCGAGCGGCCGAUGUCUGAUUAGCUGGUUGGCGGGGUAAAGGCCCACCAAGGCGACGAUCAGUAGCGGGUCUGAGAGGAUGAUCCGCCACACUGGGACUGAGACACGGCCCAGACUCCUACGGGAGGCAGCAGUGGGGAAUUUUGGACAAUGGGCGCAAGCCUGAUCCAGCCAUGCCGCGUGUCUGAAGAAGGCCUUCGGGUUGUAAAGCACUUUCAGCGGGGAGGCGUUACCCGCAGAAGAAGCACCGGCUAACUCCGUGCCAGCAGCCGCGGUAAUAC
rnacentral:rRNA from 1 species